UGUGUUGUGGCUUAGUGGUAGAGUGCUUGCCUAGCAUGCAUAGGCCCCUAGGUUUGAUCCCCAGUACCACAA
rnacentral:tRNA from 1 species